rnacentral:rRNA from 1 species
GGUUAAGCGACUAAGCGUACACGGUGGAUGCCCUGGCAGUCAGAGGCGAUGAAGGACGUGCUAAUCUGCGAUAAGCGCCGGUAAGGUGAUAUGAACCGUUAUAACCGGCGAUUUCCGAAUGGGGAAACCCAGUGUGACUCGUCACACUAUCAUUAACUGAAUCCAUAGGUUAAUGAGGCGAACCGGGGGAACUGAAACAUCUAAGUACCCCGAGGAAAAGAAAUCAACCGAGAUUCCCCCAGUAGCGGCGAGCGAACGGGGAGGAGCCCAGAGCCUGAAUCAGCAUGUGUGUUAGUGGAAGCGUCUGGAAAGGCGCGCGAUACAGGGUGACAGCCCCGUACACAAAAGCGCAUGUGCUGUGAGCUCGAUGAGUAGGGCGGGACACGUGGUAUCCUGUCUGAAUAUGGGGGGACCAUCCUCCAAGGCUAAAUACUCCUGACUGACCGAUAGUGAACCAGUACCGUGAGGGAAAGGCGAAAAGAACCCCGGCGAGGGGAGUGAAAAAGAACCUGAAACCGUGUACGUACAAGCAGUGGGAGCCCCACCACUAAGCCAGUGGUGAACUCCACAUACGCAUCCUUUGCUGAGGAUACGGUUAACGGAGCGAAAGCGACGUUCAACCGCAAAAGAAGCAGAGGGGGCUUAGUGGUGGGGUGACUGCGUACCUUUUGUAUAAUGGGUCAGCGACUUAUAUUCUGUAGCAAGGUUAACCGUAUAGGGGAGCCGGAGGGAAACCGAGUCUUAAUUGGGCGUUAAGUUGCAGGGUAUAGACCCGAAACCCGGUGAUCUAGCCAUGGGCAGGUUGAAGGUUGGGUAACACUAACUGGAGGACCGAACCGACUAAUGUUGAAAAAUUAGCGGAUGACCUGUGGCUGGGGGUGAAAGGCCAAUCAAACCGGGAGAUAGCUGGUUCUCCCCGAAAGCUAUUUAGGUAGCGCCUCGUGAAUUCAUCUCCGGGGGUAGAGCACUGUUUCGGCUAGGGGGCCAUCCCGGCUUACCAACCCGAUGCAAACUGCGAAUACCGGAGAAUGUUAUCACGGGAGACACACGGCGGGUGCUAACGUCCGUCGUGAAGAGGGAAACAACCCAGACCGCCAGCUAAGGUCCCAAAGUCAUGGUUAAGUGGGAAACGAUGUGGGAAGGCCCAGACAGCCAGGAUGUUGGCUUAGAAGCAGCCAUCAUUUAAAGAAAGCGUAAUAGCUCACUGGUCGAGUCGGCCUGCGCGGAAGAUGUAACGGGGCUAAACCAUGCACCGAAGCUGCGGCAGCGACACUCAGGUGUUGUUGGGUAGGGGAGCGUUCUGUAAGCCUGUGAAGGUGGCCUGUGAGGGUUGCUGGAGGUAUCAGAAGUGCGAAUGCUGACAUAAGUAACGAUAAAGCGGGUGAAAAGCCCGCUCGCCGGAAGACCAAGGGUUCCUGUCCAACGUUAAUCGGGGCAGGGUGAGUCGACCCCUAAGGCGAGGCCGAAAGGCGUAGUCGAUGGGAAACGGGUUAAUAUUCCCGUACUUGGUGUUACUGCGAAGGGGGGACGGAGAAGGCUAUGUUGGCCGGGCGACGGUUGUCCCGGUUUAAGCGUGUAGGUGUGUGUUCCAGGUAAAUCCGGUUCACUUUAACACUGAGGCGUGACGACGAGGCACUACGGUGCUGAAGCAACAAAUGCCCUGCUUCCAGGAAAAGCCUCUAAGCAUCAGGUAACAUCAAAUCGUACCCCAAACCGACACAGGUGGUCAGGUAGAGAAUACCAAGGCGCUUGAGAGAACUCGGGUGAAGGAACUAGGCAAAAUGGUGCCGUAACUUCGGGAGAAGGCACGCUGACAUGUAGGUGAAGUGAUUUACUCAUGGAGCUGAAGUCAGUCGAAGAUACCAGCUGGCUGCAACUGUUUAUUAAAAACACAGCACUGUGCAAACACGAAAGUGGACGUAUACGGUGUGACGCCUGCCCGGUGCCGGAAGGUUAAUUGAUGGGGUCAGCGCAAGCGAAGCUCCUGAUCGAAGCCCCGGUAAACGGCGGCCGUAACUAUAACGGUCCUAAGGUAGCGAAAUUCCUUGUCGGGUAAGUUCCGACCUGCACGAAUGGCGUAAUGAUGGCCAGGCUGUCUCCACCCGAGACUCAGUGAAAUUGAACUCGCUGUGAAGAUGCAGUGUACCCGCGGCAAGACGGAAAGACCCCGUGAACCUUUACUAUAGCUUGACACUGAACAUUGAGCCUUGAUGUGUAGGAUAGGUGGGAGGCUUUGAAGUGUGGACGCCAGUCUGCAUGGAGCCGACCUUGAAAUACCACCCUUUAAUGUUUGAUGUUCUAACGUGGACCCGUGAUCCGGGUUGCGGACAGUGUCUGGUGGGUAGUUUGACUGGGGCGGUCUCCUCCUAAAGAGUAACGGAGGAGCACGAAGGUUGGCUAAUCCUGGUCGGACAUCAGGAGGUUAGUGCAAUGGCAUAAGCCAGCUUGACUGCGAGCGUGACGGCGCGAGCAGGUGCGAAAGCAGGUCAUAGUGAUCCGGUGGUUCUGAAUGGAAGGGCCAUCGCUCAACGGAUAAAAGGUACUCCGGGGAUAACAGGCUGAUACCGCCCAAGAGUUCAUAUCGACGGCGGUGUUUGGCACCUCGAUGUCGGCUCAUCACAUCCUGGGGCUGAAGUAGGUCCCAAGGGUAUGGCUGUUCGCCAUUUAAAGUGGUACGCGAGCUGGGUUUAGAACGUCGUGAGACAGUUCGGUCCCUAUCUGCCGUGGGCGCUGGAGAACUGAGGGGGGCUGCUCCUAGUACGAGAGGACCGGAGUGGACGCAUCACUGGUGUUCGGGUUGUCAUGCCAAUGGCACUGCCCGGUAGCUAAAUGCGGAAGAGAUAAGUGCUGAAAGCAUCUAAGCACGAAACUUGCCCCGAGAUGAGUUCUCCCUGAGACUUUAGGUCUCCUGAAGGAACGUUGAAGACGACGACGUUGAUAGGCCGGGUGUGUAAGCGCAGCGAUGCGUUGAGCUAACCGGUACUAAUGAACCGUGAGGCUUAACCUU